rnacentral:rRNA from 1 species
UGGCGGCGGCCUACACAUGGCAGUCGGACGGUAGCACAGAGAGCUUGCUCUCGGGUGACGAGUGGCGGACGGGUGAGUAAUGUCUGGGGAUCUGCCCGAUAGAGGGGGAUAACCACUGGAAACGGUGGCUAAUACCGCAUAACGUCGCAAGACCAAAGGGGGGGACCUUCGGGCCUCUCACUAUCGGAUGAACCCAGAUGGGAUUAGCUAGUAGGCGGGGUAAUGGCCCACCUAGGCGACGAUCCCUAGCUGGUCUGAGAGGAUGACCAGCCACACUGGAACUGAGACACGGUCCAGACUCCUACGGGAGGCAGCAGUGGGGAAUAUUGCACAAUGGGCGCGAGCCUGAUGCAGCCAUGCCGCGUGUAUGAAGAAGGCCUUCGGGUUGUAAAGUACUUUCAGCGGGGAGGAAGGCGACGGGGUUAAUAACCGCGUCGAUUGACGUUACCCGCAGAAGAAGCACCGGCUAACUCCGUGCCUGCAGCCGCGGUAUU